rnacentral:lncRNA from 1 species
GCUAGCGAGCGGCAUGCUUAGUGAAGAAAAGCUUAAAGGCCGUCUUUGCCCAAAACGCUCUCUGUGCGCACCUGCAUUUCCCCCAGAUUUGCAGAUGGAGUCUCACUCUGUUGCCAGGCUGGAGUGCAGUGGUGCCAUCUCAGCUCACUACAACCUCCACCUCCGGGGUUCAAGCGAUUCUCCUGCCUCAGCCUUCCGAGUAGCUGGGACUACAGGUGCCUGCCACCAUUCCCAGUUAAUUUUUGUAUUUUUAGUAGAGAUGACAUUUCACUAUGUUGGCCAGGCUGGUUUUGAACUCCUGACCUCGUGAUCCACCUGCCUCAGCUUCCCAAAGUGCUGGGAUUACAGGCAUGAGCCACCACGCCUGGCCCAAAUCCUAUUUUUCAAUAUUUAUUUCCUAAUUAUGUCCUACUAGGUUAGGUUUUAUUUUCAUUUGUUACAUAUUUAUUGGGUUAUUUCCUUUAUGCUAGGAACUUUAUUAGUAUAAGGAUACAGAUAAGGUCCAUUCUCUGUUCUCAAGAAUCUGAGUCUACAGGCAGAAGACAAAAUGCAGUACAGAAUUAUGGA